rnacentral:rRNA from 1 species
UAGCGGCGCGCUUAAUGCAUGCAAGUCGAACGAUGAGGCCCUACGGGGGUACAUCAGUGGCAGACGGGUGAGUAACACGUAGGUAACCUGCCCUCGAGACGGGGAUAACGGCUGGAAACGGUCGCUAAGACCCGAUAUAGUCUGACCUUCGGGAGAAGGUGAGAGGAAAGGCUUCGGUGCUCGGGGAGGGGCCUGCGGCCCAUCAGCUAGUUGGAGAGGUAACGGCUCCCCAAGGCAAUGACGGGUAGGGGGUGUGAGAGCAUGGCCCCCCACACUGGGACUGAGACACGGCCCAGACUCCUACGGGAGGCAGCAGCAGGGAAUAUUGCGCAAUGGACGGAAGUCUGACGCAGCGACGCCGCGUGGAUGAUGAAGGCCUUCGGGUUGUAAAAUCCUUUUCCGGGCGAUGAGGAAGGACACUAGCCUGGGAAUAAGCGUCGGCUAACUACGUGCCAGCAGCCGCGGUAAGACGUAGGACGCGAGCGUUAUCCGGAUUUACUGGGCGUAAAGCGCCUGCAGGCGGUCAGGUAAGUCGGUUGUGAAAGCCCCGUGCUCAACGCGGGGAGGCCAAGCGAUACUGCGUGACUUGAGGGCGGAAGAGGGGAGUGGAAUUCCCGGUGUAGCGGUAAAAUGCGCAGAUAUCGGGAGGAACACCAGUGGCGAAGGCGGCUCCCUGGACCGCACCUGACGCUCAGAGGCGAAAGCUAGGGGAGCGAACAGGAUUAGAGACCCUGGUAGUCCCAGCCCUAAACGCUGGAUGCUAGGUGUAGGGCUGAUGAGGCUCUGUGCCGGAGCGAACGCGAUAAGCAUCCCGCCUGGGAACUACGGCCGCAAGGCUAAAACUCAAACGAAUUGACGGGGACCCGCACAAGCAGCGGAGCGUGUGGUUUAAUUCGAUGCUACACGAAGAACCUUACCUGGGUUUGACAUGCUGGUGGUACCGAACCGAAAGGGGAGGGACCCUUCGGGGAGCCAACACAGGUGCUGCAUGGCU